rnacentral:rRNA from 1 species
CAGCCGCCGCGGGAAUACGGAGGGUGCAAGCGUUAAUCGGAAUUACUGGGUGUAAAGCGCACGCAGGCGGUCUGACAAGUCAGAUGUGAAAUCCCCGGGCUUAACCUGGGAACUGCAUUUGAAACUGUCAGGCUGGAGUCUUGUAGAGGGGGGUAGAAUUCCAGGUGUAGCGGUGAAAUGCGUAGAGAUCUGGAGGAAUACCGGUGGCGAAGGCGGCCCCCUGGACAAAGACUGACGCCCAGGUGCGAAAGCGUGGGGAGCAAACAGGAUUAGAUACCCGCGUAGUCCCUGUCUCUUAUAC